CACGUAGGGUGCGAGCGUUGUCCGGAAUUAUUGGGCGUAAAGAGCUCGUAGGUGGUUUGUCGCGUUGUUCGUGAAAACUCACAGCUCAACUGUGGGCGUGCGGGCGAUACGGGCAGACUUGAGUACUGCAGGGGAGACUGGAAUUCCUGGUGUAGCGGUGGAAUGCGCAGAUAUCAGGAGGAACACCGGUGGCGAAGGCGGGUCUCUGGGCCGAUACUGACGCUGAGGAGCGAAAGCGUGGGGAGCGAACAGG
rnacentral:rRNA from 1 species